rnacentral:lncRNA from 1 species
UAAGAAGAUAUAUGAGUCUAGUUUUAGGGAAAAUUAAUAGAUCUUAAUUUAGAGUCUUGUAGCUUGAGUUAUAAAUAAUUUAUCGACUAUGACUUGAGUAGAUAGCUUGACCAUAAUAUGAGUAAAAGUGUAAUUAUAGUUGUUUUACCUAAGGAAAUAUGUUGUUAUAAUGCUUAUUAUUUUCAUAUGGACUUACUAAGCGUAAAGCUUACUCCCCCUUCCAUUUCUUCUAGUGUCCUCAGGUCGGCUCAAGGUUGGAUAUCGUCGAAGGCAACCUCACAUUAUCAAGCUACCAUCUUUGGAGUAUUGUUGAAAC